rnacentral:rRNA from 1 species
UGCAUAUCAAUAAGCGGAGGAAAAGAAACCAACAGGGAUUGCCUUAGUAGCGGCGAGUGAAGCGGCAAAAGCUCAAAUUUGAAAUCUGGCGCCUUCGGUGUCCGAGUUGUAAUUUGAAGAUUGUAACCUUGGGGUUGGCUCUUGUCUAUGUUUCUUGGAACAGGACGUCACAGAGGGUGAGAAUCCCGUGCGAUGAGAUGCCCAAUUCUAUGUAAGGUGCUUUCGAAGAGUCGAGUUGUUUGGGAAUGCAGCUCUAAGUGGGUGGUAAAUUCCAUCUAAAGCUAAAUAUUGGCGAGAGACCGAUAGCGAACAAGUACAGUGAUGGAAAGAUGAAAAGAACUUUGAAAAGAGAGUGAAAAAGUACGUGAAAUUGUCGAAAGGGAAGGGUUUGAGAUCAGACUCGAUAUUUUGUGAGCCUUGCCUUCGUGGCGGGGUGACCCGCAGCUUAUCGGGCCAGCAUCGGUUUGGGCGGUAGGAUAAUGGCGUAGGAAUGUGACUUUACUUCGGUGAAGUGUUAUAGCCUGCGUUGAUGCUGCCUGCCUAGACCGAGGACUGCGAUUUUAUCAAGGAUGCUGGCAUAAUGAUCCCAAACCGCCCGUCUUGAAACACGGACC